AGUUAUGAUGACGUCCCAAGUUUGGAAAAGCCCUCUGGCUUCAAACACCUUUGACAUGAUAUGUGUGUGUUUUUUGUGUGAGCAAAAAAAAAAAAAAACUCUUUGCAAAAACCCUCCCAAAAAACAGAAAGAAAAAAAAAUUCAUAACUAAUGAGCCCAUUUAGCGCCCAGCACCUGACUUUGGCCCGUGAUCUCCGGGAGACAUUAGAGGCAAUUUGCCAUCGACUUCAGGGCUCUUGUCCCAAAUGUUAUCAAUGAGCUUGUCAGGUACAGACCUAACCUCCCUUUGUUUCCUCCUGCACCCCCCUUCUUUCUGCUCCAAUCCCCCGACCUGCUCCCUGGGCCCCUGAAGAGGAACCAGCGGCAUGAUGUCACACACCUGUUUGGCUGGAGGCUGUGGCCUGGCGACGCUCGAAGCCGUGGGUGUCGCGUUGGCACCCCUCUUUUCCCCCUUGUCGCUGCCUGCUACGCCCCGUGGAUGUGUCAAAAUGGCAGAUGAUGGUUGGGGUGUGUGCAGCUGCUUGGGAAGAGGAGUGCCAAGGGCGCUCAUUUCCUGCGGAAACUCUUGGAAGGCAAAAGCAACAUCCUGAGUUGGUGAGGAGACAGGAGAGGUGCUGACAUGCCGACAGGCAGGGGAUCCUGGGAAAAGCCACAGACAGGAAGAGCCUGACUGACUUUGACCCCCGGGGUCAAGGCUGGGGGCUCGGCAACUGAAAGAUGUUUCCAAGCCACGCUCAGACUAUCGCGGCGUUUUACAGGAAAUAGCUCCAAAAUUACUGUAUGCUGUUAAAAUGUGGGAGAUCUUUUAUUGCUCGCUCUUUUGUUUUUGUUCUUUGUGACAUAAAAUGUGUUUUGGCCCUGAGCUAUAUUUGACUUGUUUGUUUGAGGGUUAUUGUGUGUAAUUGAUUUAAACUCAAGUCUACUUCCUAUCCUUUUAAUGUAAAAACAAACUUCUUUUUUUCUUUACUAGUAGAAUCAUAGAUGAAGACAUUGUCGAGAUCCACGUGACAAAGUUUUACGUUACUCCUGUUUGUGACGUGCUUUAAAUAAAGGGAAGUUUUUCUA